rnacentral:lncRNA from 1 species
AAACCUAAUCAGACCUAGACCUAAACCCUAAGAUAGAGACCUAAGAAUAAGAAAAAGCUCCCUUCUUGAAAAAUCAAAAGCGGCAGAUCUCAGCCAAAAGCAAGGAGACCCUCCAUGUCAUCGUCUUCUUCGACAAGGAGCCCAAAACAACGACCCCUUUAGCCAGCCAUCAGACCCCUAAGAUCCGUCGUUACACCCAAACACCCCCUAUCGAUUCCUCAUCUUCUCCAUUAAAAACAAUAACCAUCGCUCACACUCUCCUCCUCUCCAAGGCGUCAUUGUUCCUGGCCAAACGACCCUCACCUCGCCGGAAAACACCCCUAUCAAAGACCACCAGACCUCACGCCAACAUCAACAACACAGUCACAUAGAUCAAGGGGAAAAAACCAUCCUAUCAGCUCUCAUCUUCUUCAGCACUAACACACACACACACCCAUGAGACAAGAUCUCAGAUCAUCUUCUUAACAAAAUACCCCUAAAAAAUCUAGAGCCAUCAGAACAAACGGAGGAGCAGCCAUCUUCAACUCCACCUUAGAGAACAGAAAAAAUGAGAGGACGGACAGAGGUAGCUAGAGAGGGGAACGACCAAUUUUCAGUCUAAAACAGGGAGAACUUUAGAAGUAUGAUCCAUCUCUCUCUCUCUCUCCNAUCNNCNCNCUCNNNNNNNNNNNNNNNNNNNNNNNNNCAAUUUCAUGACUUCAAACAAGGAUGACUUAGUAGUAUGUCAUCUCUCUCUCUCUCUCUCUCUCUCUCUCUCUCUCUCUCUCUCUCUCUCUCAUUUUUCCUUCUUUUUGCUCUUUUGAACAAUGAAAAAUACACAUGAAAGAUUUUUCUUUAUUUGAACAUUAGAUCGUGAUUAAAUUUUCAGAAAACUAAACAAAGGAUUCUGUUUCUUCCGAUUCUAAUUUCAAAUUUUGAUUUCUGAAAUAAUGGAGAGUGUUUGAGGCAGUGGGAGUCCAAGGUUGAGCAUUCUGGGUUCCGGUCAUGGUUCUCGUUACUGUCCAGUUUUCCGUUAAGUUCGAAACUGGAGUUCUAAUCUGGUCAUGAAUUAAUCCUACAAGGCCACUGCUUAAUCUCAUUUUCACGUUUUCGCUUUUACUUCGUGAGCUUACGCAGAGGUUCAUUUCGUUGCCUUUUACACAAUUAUUCAAAUAUUUUGAAUAAGUUGUUUGUUUAAUUUUGUUUGAUGUGUUGUAAUUAUUCUGUUCUCAGCUGCUAGUCUGAUUUGCUUAUUUCACUUUGUUUGAAAUUAGUUUGCAAUCUCUAAGAAUGCUGAGGUAUGCUAUUCUACAGAUUAAUGCUUGUCCAUUGAAGUUAGAUUAGGAAGAGUAAUGUAAAUGGGUCGUGGGGGUGGACAACAAGAAUGGAAAAUUGUAUUUAUCAUUUUAAUUGUUUUACUUUACUUGCCUAUAUUCGCUAGGAGUAUGCUAGGCCAUCCACACUCGGGUAGGCAAUUUUUUUUUUGGAUUUUUGACAUUUGCGCGACAUAAUUACGGGUUCCAAAAAUUAAGACCAAAGUAUGUGUUUGCGCAACUUUGGGACAAACAAUCUCAAUAAUAAUAAAAUAUUAUUAAUUGUGUACACGUUCGUGUGACACGAUUACGAUUUUAAAAAUGAACACUCGUAGUUUGCUUUAGGCUUGACUUAGACUAUUAUUGUGAUUAUGUAUACGUUCGCGUAACAUAAUUGCGAAUUUAAUUCUAAAAAUUAACUCGAGGGAUGCAUUCGCGCAACUUCAACCAAAAUUUUCUUAAUAAAUAAAAAAAGCAUUAUUAAUUGUAGACACAUUCGCGUGACAUGAUUUUUGACGCGCCAAAAGAAAAAAGUAUACGUACGCGUAACUCAAUUUUUUUUUAAAUUACGAAUAAAUCAAGUGAUUAAAAGCAGUAAAAGGUAAAUGCACAUAAGUUUUAAAAUAAGUAAUUAGACCAUUUAAGCCAAUUAUAAAUUGCUAAGCGAUAGUUCUAAAACCACGGAACCUGGGAAUGCCUAACACCUUCUCCCGGGUUAACAGAAUUCCUUACUUAGAAUUUCUGGUUUGCAGACUUUUAAAUAAAGUCGAUUUUCCUCGAUUUGGGAUUUUAAAAUGAACUGGUGACUUGGGACACCAUAAAUUAUUCCAAGUGGUGAGUUUGAUAAAUUAAUUAAUCCCAUUUCGAUUAAUGUCACUUUAAUUGGAAAAACUAAUAUAUACCCUCGGGUGUAAAAAGGAGGUGUAAAAAAAGUACAGUGGAGAGGUUGGCCCAUGGAGGAGGCCACUUGGGAGACCAAGCGGGAGAUGCGGAGCAGAUAUCCUCACCUGUUUGAGACUACAGGUAUGUUUCUUGACUCGUUCGAGGACGAACGUUUGUUUAAGAGGGGGAGGAUGUGACGACCCGGCCAGUCGUCUCAUGAGUUACCGCUCUGUUUCCCCCAUUUCUUCUUCUUAUUGCUUUGUUUAUCGGUUCUAUAUGUGAUCGGGUUGGUUGGCUCGGGUUCUGAAAUGUUUUGGUAAGGUUUGAGACACUUCGUCUCUUUUGAGAAAGCUUAAGUUGGAAAAGUCAACCAGAUGUUGACUUAUGUGUUAAAGGGAUCGGAUGUGAAUCCGAUGGUUCGGAUAUCUUCGGGAGGUGAUAUAGGACUUAGUAGCGNNNNNNNNNNNNNNNNNNNNNNNNNCGGUUGAUAGGUGGGAUUUUGAUAUAGUGGUCGGAAUAGAACUUCGGGAGUUGCAGUAGUUCCGUUGUCUCAUUUGAGAUGUGUUUGCAAAAUUUCAUGUCAUUCGGACGUGGUUUGGUAGACUUUUUUAUCAAAAGCGUAAUUUAGAAGAUUUUAGAAUUCUUAGGCUUGAAUCCGAUGUGAAUUUGGUGUUUUGAUGUUGUUUUGAGCGUUCCGAAGAUUGAAACAAGUUUGAAUGAUGUUAUGGGAUAUGUUGGCAUGUUUGGUUGAGGUCCCAGGGGCCUCGGGUGAGUUUUGGGUGGUUAAGCGAACCAUUUCAUGUUGUGAAAGUUGCAGAAACUGUUGUGUGUGUGUUGCAGACAUUUAGCCUUCGCGUUCGCGAGUAGAGCCUCGCGUUCGCAAAGGGUUAGCAGGUGAGGCUGAAGAUUUGGCCUUCGCGUUUGCGAUGGAGGUCCCGCGUUCGCGAAGUGAUGGGCCAUUGAGCUACGCGUUCGUGAGAAGGGGAGUCGCGUUCGCGAUGGAGCCCAGAAGCAUCGGGUUCUCGAGAGGUCAGACGCAUUCGCGAAGGAGGAAAUGUAGUCAACGUCAGUUUGUGCUUCGCGAACGCGAGGCUUUGACCGCGUUCCCGAAGAAGAUUUUUAAUGCCUGGGCAGAAUGUUUAAAUAGCCAUUGUCUGCAAUUUUGGGGCUAACUUCCACCAUUUUUGGGCGAUUUUGAAGCUUUUUGAAGAGGAUUGAAGAGGGAUUCAAGGGGGAACACUUGGAGGUAAGAUUUAUGGACUUAAUACUCGAUCCUAAUGUGAAUUCUACCUAAUUAAUCAUGGAAUUUAAGCUUAAUAUUGAAGAACUAGGGCUUGAAAUUGUAGACCUAGAAUUUGGGAUUUAAGGGGUCGUUUGUGGUUGGAUUUUGAUACUUUUGAUAUAAAUGAACUCGGGGAGUGAUAUGGAGCCUAUUGGUGUAAAUUUUAUCGGAAUCCGAGACGUGGGCCUGGGGGGGUCGGGUUUGGCCAGUUUCGGGAUUUGUGUUGUAAUUUGAUUUUUUUCGAGUGGGCUUUUUUCCCUUAACAUAUUUUGAUGGUUUUGCACUAAUUUUGGUUAGAUUUGGAGCAUCCGGAGGCCGAUUUGAGAGGCAAAGACAUCGUGGGCUAGAGUUUGGACCGAAUUAAGGUGAGUAAUGACUGUAAAUGUUAUCCUAAGGGUAUGAAACCCCGGAUUUCACAUCGUUGUGCUAUAUUGAGGUGACGCACACGCUAGAUGACGAGCGUGAGGUCGUGCACCGUUGGGGAUUGUGACUUAGUCCAUCCCGAAUGACUGUUUUACCGCGUAUUUGAUUGAAAACUGUUUGCUAUCAUCAUGUUUUGGGCUAAAUGCCAUAUUUGGGCCUCGUGCCAACUAUUUGGACCCUUAGGGGAUUUUUACUAAUAUUUCCUCACUAUUUUGGCUUUAUACUUGUACUCAGUCAUGCUAUAUUCUACUGUUUUCAUAACUCAGUCAUCUUUCCUCUAUUUUAACACAUUAAAUGAUAUUCUAAAUGAUAAUUUGAGUUGAGCAUCAUGUUUUACUGUUGCCCGAGUGGCUUAUGAGAUUCUGACUGAGUAAGGCCGAGGGUCUGUGUUGUGCAGAUACACUGAUUUAUGAUUAUGAGACCGAGGGCCUGAGAUUGUACGACAUGAGGUGGCUUGUUGAUAUGAGGACGAGAGCCUAUUGAUUAUGCCACAAGAUGGCUUGAUAUAGCGCUUGGGCCGUAAGGGGCCCCUCCUGAAGUCUGUACACCCCCAGUGAGUGCGAGUACCCAUUGUGAUAUGAGAUAUAGCCCGAUGGGCUGGUGUUGUUCCAUGAUAUUGCCCGAGGGGCAGAUUCUGUUGACAUUGUGCUCGAGGGGCGGAUUUUACGUGUUUAUCUGUUCUAGCCGCUUUUCGUUUAAUUGUUUAACUGUUAAAAAGGUGUUUUAAAGAAGCUUCUUCUAAACCAAAGUGUCUUUAUAUAUUUUCACUGUUUCAUCGAUUUUACUGGUUUUAUACUGCUUCUUUAUAGCAUGUUGAUGUGAUUUUACAUGAUUUCUUAUCGCUCAGUCUUCAUUUAUUAUUAUUACUCACUGAGUUGGAGUACUCACUUUACUUCCUGCACCCUGUGUGCAGAUUCAGGCGAUUCGGGUCCCGCUAGUAAGUGUUGACUUCUUUCAGCUCAGGCGGAUUCGGAGAUUCACUAGGUUGCUGCUCGGCGUCCGCAGCCCAGUGCUUCUCCCCCUAUCUUAUUUACUCUGCUUUAGUUCUGUAAUAGACUAUGUAGACUUUUCAUGUCUUUAUUCGGAUAGUAGAUGCUCAUGACUGGUGACACCCCGAUGUCGGGCUAUGUCUAUUCCGCAAACUGUAUUAUUCACCUUUAUUUUGGGAUUAUUAUCAUGUUAAAGACUUAAUUUGUAUUAUCAUAAUUGCUUAAAAUGAAUUGGGUAUGUAUCGGCUGGCCUUGUCUUCACGAGAAGCGCCAUCACGAUCGGGUCCGGGUUUAGGAUCGUGACAGACAAUAAACCUACAAAUCAUUUUUAACACUUUAAUGGAUAAUGACAAAUUUUCUCUUGCUA